GAAGGAGGCGGAGGCUCUGGGAGCUGGUAGCUGGGCGACUGGCUGAUGGGCGAGGGAGGGCGAGGGAGGGCGCCGCAACGGAACGAGGAACCCGGACAGUGAAGGAGGAAGAAACAAAGGAGCCAGCAGCACUAGAGAGUUCCCUUCUGGUGUGUGAGUGCCCGCCUUCCUUUUUUUUUUUUUUUUUUUUGAGACGGAGUCUCGCUCUGUCGCCCAGGCUGGAGUGCAGUGGCGCGAUCUCGGCUCACUGCAAGCUCCGCCUCCCGGAUUCACGCCAUUCUCCUGCCUCAGCCUCCCAAGUAGCUGGGACUACAGGCACCCGCCACUACGCCCGGCUAGUUUUUUGUAUUUUUAGUAGAGACGGGGUUUCACCGUUUUAGCCGGGAUGGUCUCGAUCUCCUGACCUCGUGAUCCGCCCGCCUCGGCCUCCCAAAGUGCUGGGAUUACAGGCGUGAGCCACCGCGCCCGGCCGAGUGCCCGCCUUCCUAACCACGUCCUAGCCUUCCAUUUGAGGGGCCGUUCCAGGCAUUUUAGGAAGAAAGCUUACAAAAAUAAGAAAGUACAAGAACGAAGCAAACAUCUGUACGUUUUAGUUACUUGGGGUGGGGGGGGGGCAAGCAUGACAUUGGAGUAAAGCCAAUCAUUAUUAUAAAUUAAAAAGAAGCUGUCAUGGAAAUUAGAGAUCUCAGAACAGAGCUAGGUACUCUUCCAGACCCCAGACAAAUCUUUCACCUUGUUUAGGCCUUGGUUUUGGAUUUGUAAAACAAGAGUGCAUGGGUAGAUUUCUAAAGUCUCUCCUAAUUGCUAAUUUUAGUUUAUAAUAACAUGACUUGAGGCUGGGCACAGUGGCUCACGCCUGUAAUCCCAGCACUUUGGGAGGCCGAGGUGGGCGGAUCACUUGAGGUCAGGAGUUCGAGACCAGCCUGGCCAACAUGGUGAAACCCAUUCUCAACUAAAAAUACAAAAAUUAACCGGGCAUGGUGGUGCGUGCCCGUAAUCCCAGCUACUUAAGAGGCUGAGACAGAAGAAUCACUUGAGCCUGGGAGGCGGACGUUGCAGUGAGCCUGAGGAAGGAGAGAGACCCUCUCAUAUUGUUUUAUACUCAGUACCUGUUUUAAGAAAAAAAGAAACAGCAAGGAAGUAAAACCAAAGACAGGCAGCCCAGCGCCAGGCCGGAAACCAGGCCUGGGCCUGCCUGGCCUAAACUCAGUAGUUAAAAAUCAACUCAUAACUUAGAAACCGAUGUUAUUCAUGGAUUCCAGACAUUGUGCAGCAGAACAUUGUGAAACUCCCUGCCCUGUUCUGUUUCUCUCUGACCACCGGUACAUGCAGCCCCUGUCAUGUACCGCUUGUUUGCUCAAAUCAAUCAUGACCCUUUCAUGUGAAAUCUUUAGUGUCGUGAGCCCUUAAAAGGGACAGAAAUUGUGCACUUGGGGAGCUCAGAUUUUGAGGCAGUAGCUUGCUGAUGCUCCCAGCUGGAUAAAGCCCUUCCUUCUACAACUCGGUGUCUGAGAGGUUUUGUCUGCGGCUCAUCCUACUAAAAGCUGAGAUUGCGCCACUGCACUCCAGCCUGGACAACAAGAGCAAGACUCAGUCUCAACGAAAGAAAGAAAAAAACAAAAACCGGCCGGGCAUGGUGGCUCACUCCUGUAAUCCCAGCACUUGGGGAGGCUGAGGUGGGCAGAUCACGAGGUUAGGAGAUCGAGACCAUCCUGGCUAACACGGUGAAACCCCAUCUCUACUAAAAAUACAAAAAAUUAGCCGGGUGUGGUGGCGGGCGCCUGUGGUCCCAGUUACUCGGGAGGCUGAGGCAGGAGAAUGGCAUGAACCUGGGAGGCGGAGCUUGCAGUGAGCCGAGAUUAUGCCACUGCAGUCCAGCCCAGGCAACAGAGCAAGACUCUGUCUCAAAAAAAAAAAAGUAAAUAAAUAAACCUACCGUACAACCCAGCAAUCCCACUACUGAGUAUCUAUCUAAAGGGAAAGAAAUCAACAUAUCAAAAGGAUACCUGCUCUCACAUGUUUACUGAAGGACUAUCACAAUAGCAUAAAUAUGGAACCAGCCUGUGUCCAUGAACAGAUGAAUGGGUAAAGAAUUUGUGGUAUGUAGGCCAGGCACGGUGGUUCACGCCUGUAAUCCCAGCACUUUGGGCAGCUGAGGCUGGUGGAUCACCUGAGGUCAGGAGUUCGAGACCAGCCUGGCCAACAGGGCGAAACCCCAUCUCUAUUAAAAAUACAAAAAUUAGCUGGGCAUGGUGGCGCACACCUGUAAUCCCAGCUACUCUGGAGGCUGAGGCGGGAGAAUUGCUUGAACCUGGGAGGCGGAGGUUGCAGUAAGCUGAGAUCGUACCACUCCAGCCUGGGUGACAGAGUGAGACUCCAUCUCAAAAAAAAAAAAAAAACAAAGACAAAUAAUGGAAAGCCAGGUGUGGUCAUGCACACCUGUAGUCCCAGCUACUUGGGAAGCUGAGAUGGGGGGAAUCACUUAUGCCCAGGAGUUUGAGGGUAGCCUGGGCAACAUAGAAGACCUGUCUCUUUAAAUAAAUACAUAAAUAUAAAAGUGGAAAAAAGCUUGUGGGAUAAAAAUAUAAAAAACAUGAUUCUAAGUGAAAGAUGCAAGACGCAAAAAUGUCACAUACUGUAUGCUUCCAUUUAUGUGAAAUGUCCAGAAUAGGCAAAUCCAUCGAGAUAGAAAGUAGAUGAGUGGUUGCUAGGGAUAGGAGAAAGGAGGAAUGGGAAAUGACUGCUAAUGAGUAUGGGGUUUUCUGGGGGUGGGGGUAAUAAAAAUGUUCUAAAAUUCGAUAAUAGUGAUGGUUGUACAAUCUUGUAAGUAUAUGAAAACUCGAUUGUAUACUUUAAAUGGGUGAAUUUAUGGUGGAUGAAUUAUAUUGUGAUAAUGCUAUUUUUUAAAAAACAAAUUCUCUAGCUGCAUGGAGAAUUAAUUUUAGUGGGAGAAAAAGAGGAAGCGGGGCGACUAGGUAGGAGGAUAUUAUAGGGAAUGAGGGCAGAGAUCAUAGCGGCUUGGACUAGAGUGGUGGCAGUGGGGAUAGAGAGAAGUAAAUGGAUCCAAGCUGUGUCUGGGAUGGGGCUACAGUACUGCAAAUGGACUGGAUUUGCAAUAGUGAAACUACCUUUGCAAAAUUAUAACUAAGGAAAUUAUGACAGUGAAAGAAAUCAGACCUGACUCCAUCUUGCUUCUAGCCUUUAAGCUGUCCUUGUUCAUUCCUGGACACAGGCCAAACUAACUUUAGGAAGGAAUUCAGUUCAUGGUUUUACUCUGAAACAAAAUUGAUAAUCGCCCUUUCCCGAAAAGACCCCUCUUUUAGCCUGGGGACCAGUCUGCCUUUGCAGGACUAACAAAUUAGCUAUAAGAUUAGAAAUUACUGGCCAGGUGUGGUGGCUCACUUCUGUAAUCCCAGCACUUUGGGAGGCUGAGGCGGGCGGGUCACCUGAGGUCGCGAGUUCAAGACCAGCCUGACCAACAUGGUGAAACCCUGUCUCUACUAAAAAUACAAAAUUAUCCAGGUGUGGUGGCUCAUGCCUGUAAUCCCAGCUACUCGGGAGGCUGAGGCAGGAGAAUCGCUUGGACCCGGGAGAGGCCAAGGAGGGCGGAUCAUUUGAGCUCAGGAGUUUGAGACCACACUGGGCAACUGGCAAAACUCGUCUCUAGUAAAAAAACAAAAAUGAGCUGAGUGUGGUGGCACAUGCCUGCAGUCCCAGCUACUUGGGAGGCUGAGGUGGGAGGACUGCUUGAGCCCGGGAGGUUGAGGCUGCAGUGAACUGAGAUCACACCAGUGUAUUUCAGUCUGGAUGACAGAACAAGACUCUGUCUCAAAAAAAAAAAAAAAAAUACAGUCUAGAGUACUCAGGUUUGAGUGUCAGCACAUUUGGUGUAAGAAACUCAGCAAGAUAAACUAAAUUAUUAUCAGAAGGUUAUAAUGCUUGUGGAGUCAUGGCCAUGGGAGUUGGUAGGAUAGAUGUUUUGUUUUGCUUUGUUUUAAAGCCAAAACUUUUUACCAAAAUGUUUUACAAUAGGAUCUGAGUUUGACUGUUCCAUUCAGCAUCCAAAGAGAGAGGAGGACAUAUUGUUUGAAUAAGGAAGGUAAAGAAAUGUACUUUUUUGAAAGCCAUCAAAGAAGGAUGUGUACUUCAUCUCUGUGCCUUCCCUACCAGUCUAGCUGGGUAAGAGAUGAGGGUGCCCUGCCCAUGGAGAGAAGCUGCGUAUGCAUAGUGGUCAAGAUCAUGGUCUCUUCUAUCAGACUGACACGCAGAUUCCACUCCCUGUGACCUUAGGCAAGUUACCUAACCUCUUUGUGCCUGUUUCAUCACCUAUAAAAUAGGAGUAACUGUGUUACUCCCCAAAUUUCUACAAUGAAGGCCUAACUUCUAUGCAAUGGUAUUUGGAGAUAGGGCCUUUGGGAGACACUUACGUUUUGAUGAGGUCCUAAUGAUUGGAUUAGUGCCCUUGUAAGAAGAGACACCAGAAAGCUAGCAUGUACCAUGCCCCAGCCCUCACCACCCCUGCCAUGUGAGGGCACUUGGAGAAGACAGCUACCUGCAACCUAGGAAAAGAGCCGCCAUCAGAAACUGACCAUGCUGGUAUCUUGACCUUGGACUAUCAGCCGCCAGAACUGUGAAAAAAUAAAUUGCUGUUGUUUAAGCCACCUAGUCUAUGGUAUUUUGCUAUGGCAGCCAAGCCAGUCUCUCUCUUUGAGGGGUUGUCAGCAUUAAAUGAAACGACUCAUGUCAUUUAAGGCACUUAGACUCUGGUCUGACGCAGGAUGAGCUAAGUGUUCAGCAACUGUUAGCCAUUGUUUAGAAGGGUAGGGCUACCUGCUAAGUAAAACGAAUGUUGGUGUUUGGUGAGGGCACCCUUCUGCUAGGGACAUCUCUGAAGACACAUCAAACAACAUAUUUCUGAAGACAUUCAACAUAUUUCUGUGGGAGAAUGCCAGCUUUGUCUCCCAAAUGCAAUGGAGUUUUCAAGUUAGGAAUUCUAAUCAAAAGAGACCCAUCAGAGUAUGUACAAUAAAUGUAGAAUUCUAAGAACAUUACCUGAAAUCACCCAGUUUGUGGGUGUCAGUGUGAAAAUGUAGAUACCUAAGGCCAUGUCUGCUUCAGUGUCAUCUCCUCCUAGAGACCUUCCCUGACCACUCUAUACAGAGUAGCAGUUCCUACCCAUUACACUCUAUCCCUUUACUGUGCUUUAGUUUUCUUCAUAGCACUUGACAUUUUUUUUUUUUUUUUUUUUUUUUUUUUCUGAGAGGGAGUCUCCUCUGUUGCCCAGGCUGGAGUGUGAUGGCAUGAUCUUGCCUCACUGCAACCUCUGCCUCCUGGGUUCAAGCCAUUCUCCUGCCUCAGCCUCCCAAGUAGCUGGGAUUACAGGCACCCGCCACCAUGCCCGGCUAAUUUUUGUAUUUUUAGUAGAGGCGAGGUUUUGCCAUGCUGGCCAGGCUGGUCUCGAACUCCUGACCUCAGGUGAUCCACCCGCCUUGGCUUCCCAAAGGGCUGGGAUUACAGGCCUGAGCCACUGCGCCUGGCCAACAUUAUAUGCUUUGUUAUGCAUUGUCUGUCUCCUUACUAGAAUGUAAGCUCUGUGAAGAAAGACUUGGUUCUUUUUUUUCCCCACUACAGUGUCCCCAAUACUUGACCAUUGCUUGACACAUUUGUUGAAUGAGUGGAUGAAUUUAUUACAGUGGUUAAGAACAUGAACUUUGGCACAAGCCUUCAAAUCCUGGCUCUGCCACUUAGUGCACGUGAUCCUGGGGAGGUUACUUGCCUUGGUAAGCCUCAGUUUUUUCAUCUGUAAAAUGGAAAAAUAGGAUGAAAUAAACGUGUAGAAGGCCAGGCAUGAUGGCUCACACCUGUAAUCCCAGCACUUUGGGAGGCCAAGGCAGGUAAUUGUUUGAGCCUAGAAAUUCAAGAUCAGACUUGACAACAUGGUGAAACCCCAUCUCUACAAAAUAAUACAAAAAUUAUGGGGCCAGGAGUGGUGGCUCACACCUGUAAUCCCAGCACUUUGAGAGGCCGAGAAGGGAGGAUCACUUGAAGUCAGGAGUUUGAGACCAGCCUGGCCAACAUGGUGAAACUCCAUCUCUACUACAAAUACAAAAACUAGCCGGGCAUGGUGGUAUGCACCUGUAGUCCCAGCUACUCGGGAGGCUGAGGCAUGAGAAUUGCUUCAACCCAGGAGAAGGAGGUUGCAGUGAGCUGAGAUCGCACCACUGCACUCCAGCCUGGGUGACAGAGCGAAACUCCAUCUCAAAAAAAAAAAAAAAAAUUAGCUGGGUGAGGUGGCAUGUGCCUGUAGUCCCAGCUACUAGGUAAGCUGAGGAGGGAGGAUUGCUUGAGUCAGAGGUUGCAGUGAGCCAAGACUGUGCCAUUGCACUUUAGCUAACCUGGGUGACAGAGCGAGACCCUGUCUCAAAAAAAAAAAAAAAAAAAAAAAAAAAAAAAAAAAAAAGAGUGCCUGAUGUCUAGUGCACUAGAACAAAUGCUGCCUGUUUUUAUUUUCUCUCUCUAACCCUGACAUGCAAGAAAGGGAAGUAUGAUUAGUUUCCUUGAAGCACAAGAACCCGCAGCUGGAAUGAAUGGGAGGAUAGGCCACAGAGAAACUCGGGGCAGGGUAGCAGGGAGCAGGGGUGCGGGAAACAGUGCUAAUCCCAUGAGAGGAGGGCAACACAGGGAGGAAUGCAGCCAGGAAAAAAGUUCCCACUGAGAAUAAGGUUGUGAACCCAGAAUUUCUUAAAAAAAGAAAACGAGACCGGGCGUUGCGGUUCACACCUGUAAUCCCAGCACUUUGGGAGGCCAAGGUGAGUGGAUCACCUGAGGUCCAGAGUUCGAGACCAGCCUGACGAACAUGGGGAAACCCCCGUCUCUACUAAAAAUACAAAAUUAGCCAGGCGUGGUGGCGCAUGCCUGUAAUCCCAGCCACUCAGGAGGCUGGGGCAGAAGAAUCGCUUGAACCCAGGAGGCGGAGGUUGCAGUGAGCCAAGAUUGCACCAUUGCAUUUCAGCCUGGGCAACAAGAGCAAAACUCCGUCUCAAAAGAAAAAAAAAAAAAAAAAGAAAGAAAAGGAAGAAAGACAUUCUGAGAAGACAAAGUGUUCACAUUGAUAAUAGGUUUUACUACUUUGCUGAAACAGAGUUUCAAUUAAUCAAGAGAUCCUCUACCUCCCACCACACUCGCCUGCAGUUUAGGCAGAAAUCCUUUUGUGAUUUCCCACUCUGAUGGAGUGAUUCAGCUAAAGGGCUCCAAGAGAGCAGCAUUUCUCUUCAAACACUCC
rnacentral:lncRNA from 1 species